GAUGAACGCUAGCGGGAGGCUUAAUACAUGCAAGUCGAACGGUAACAGCGGAGCUUGCUCUGGCUGACGAGUGGCGCACGGGUGAGUAACGCGUACACAAUCUACCCAUUACAGGAGGAUAGCCUUGGGAAACUGAGAAUAAUACUCCAUAGUAUUUCGGGGUCGCAUGACCCUGUUAUUAAAGUUCUGGCGGUAAUGGAUGAGUGUGCGUACUAUUAGAUAGUUGGUGAGGUAACGGCUCACCAAGUCAACGAUAGUUAGGGGGCGUGAGAGCGUGAUCCCCCACACGGGUACUGAGACACGGACCCGACUCCUACGGGAGGCAGCAGUAAGGAAUAUUGGACAAUGGGCGCAAGCCUGAUCCAGCCAUCCCGCGUGAAGGAUGACGGCCCUAUGGGUUGUAAACUUCUUUUAUAGAGGACGAAACGUACUGUUUUAACAGUGCCUGACGGUACUCUACGAAUAAGCACCGGCUAAUUCCG
rnacentral:rRNA from 1 species